GGACUCGCUGCCCCUCCUGGGGUACACCCUGGCUGCAGGGAUCUCUAGCGAAGACCACCCGGCCGGAAGCCGGGGAGCGGAAACCGGUAAAAGCCACUCGCUUGCUCUCGCUCCUGUGCCUGGCUAUGACAACAGAAUGAUGUGGCUGCGUUUCUCUGGUCCCUGGAUCCCCGGACAACAGGUCCAGGACAGGAUGAGCCCUGCUCGGCCCGAGUGUGUGGGUCCGAGUAGAGAAAAGGAGCAGAGUUCCCAGGGAAGUGCCCACGAAGAAUUAACUAAGAGGCAAGAUGGGUUCGCAUCAAUCCCUGUGCUAGAUGGCCCCUCACAGUCCGUCCUGCGUGCCCUACAUAGGAUUUUUCCAUCUGUCACAACCACAUCCACAGUGACACAUUUAUCCAAAUGAAAGAAAAA